AGGACGAACGCUGGCGGCGUGGAUUAGGCAUGCAAGUCGCACGAGAAACAUUCCUUCGGGAAUGCAGACAGUGGCGAACUGGUGAGUAACACGUGAACAACCUGCCCUUACAUUCCGGAUAGCCAGCCGAAAGGCUGGAUAAUACGGGCGAGGAUCGCACCAAGGCAUCUUGGAGCGAAGGAAGGCGCAAGCCGUGCAAGGAGGGGUUCGCGGACUAUCAGGUAGUUGGUGAGGUAACGGGCUCACCAAGCCGACGACGGAUAGCUGGUCUGAGAGGAUGAUCAGCCACACUGGGACUGAGACACUGCCCAGACUCCUACGGGAGGCAGCAGCGAGGAAUUUUGCGCAAUGGGCGAAAGCCUGACGCAGCAACGCCGCGUGGGUGAUGAAGGCCUUCGGGUCGUAAAGCCCUUUUGUCGGGAAGACAACGACGGUACCCGACGAAGAAGCCACGGCUAACUACGUGCCAGCAGCCGC
rnacentral:rRNA from 1 species